UGCAAUUGUCACUAUUUGAACGUUUCCGUUUAUUUGAAUGAUGUUCAAAUAAAAUGAAUAUAUAUUUCAGGUUCUAUAUGAAUCGCCUGAAAGUGCGAAGCGGGCUACAUGCAACAAAUCUCUGAACAUCUAAAUUUGGGAUCCGAGGGCAUGAUCAGCAAGCUUCGACAAAGCAUCGAAAUCAGCAGAGAGUAGUGGUGCAUUGCAGAUAAUCAGUACCAUCCAUGGAAAGUAUAUUGCACACAGCACACGUCUACACAAAGGAGGAAAAGAAACAAGGUUUUGCAGAUCAAAUAAGAAGGAUGUUGGGGAGUCAUAUUUGACAUGAAGUUUCCUGAAGCCUGCGAUGGUCAUGUCGCUGUUACGAACAUCGUCCUUUGGGGAUAUUUACCCACAAGAAACAUCUGCGAAGUACAUGCGCUUCGUGAAAGACUUGAAACUUAAGUUAUCUUAAGUAUGGAAGUAUGCUUCAAUUUGCUACACGACAGUUUGUAAUGUUUCAUGAAGAACUCUGACUCAUAAGUGACUUGAAUAUCCAUGAUCAUCCCAAACAAAUAUAAUAAAGAAUUCAUGGUUGCAGUUCAGAAUUUCGUCCGUGUGAUUUUAUGCCAGAGAAUAUGCAUGGGUGUAUGGUUCAAAUUCUUACACCUUGAAAAAUAUCGGGUAAAUUGUAUUCGACACACAC